UGUGAAUUUGAAGAACACAUUUAUUUUGUUUAUGAAGUGACCAGACUACAUUUCCCAUAAUUCUCUUUGGCAGCAGGAGUGGCAAUACAACAUAUACUUAUGUUAACUAAUAACUAAUAUUAUGACUUUUUGAUAUAUUUGCAAAUAAUUUAUUUCCAUCUGCAUACCAAAUGUUUCUUUCAAAUGAUGAUUAAUGGAGAAACAUGCUUUUGCCCCCAGAAAAGUGUAAUUAUGCCAUCCACCAACAACCGCUGCAAUCCAUUUGGCGCCCUACAAAUAACAUUUUUAUCUACUCUCAUUGAAUUUUGUCUUCAACGUUUUUAUAUUUCACUUUUUAAACACAUUUAUCCCUCUGUUUACUUUUGUGCUUCAUGAACUGUAAGUGCUUCACUUUCUAAUGACCAGCAGAUGGACGCAGAUGUGCAAAUCAUCUCAGCCACACACACGAUGUGGUGAUGGGAAGAGCUUUUGUCAUCCAGUAAUUCUUGCCAUCUUUGGUCUCUAAUCUGUCAAAAGAGUCAUUCAACUUUGAAUCUAAAGUUGCAUUUGAGUCGUCCCUGAGUCUAAGCAAGAUUGAGACCGUCCCACUGACGCUUUAGCAGAGAGACAAAGGCCCCCUAUCAUGACAUAUUCGUGUUGCCAUGGCAGUCAAUGGUCUUUUGAAUGUCCCUGGACAAAUAGCGACUCAAGCACUAAUUAGUCAACAGAUCGAACGAGAGGCCCAAGCUCCACAUGUUUAGAGCAGCUUUAUGGCCACUGUUUUAGGUUGAUGAAGCUGUCUUUUUACAUGCCAAAAGCUGCGGGUGGUCGUGCCAACUUCUUAGCUGAAGUAAAUCGCUUCUAGGCUAGGCUAGGCUAGUCAGUCACAACGACUGGAACUUAAUGAAAGUACCUCAAAAUCAAGUACUUUAGAAACAUUUGACUUUCUUGAUUUCUUGCAUUGUGUUUUUGCUCCAAGGAUGUUCUCCACAUGUCGGACAGAUGAUCUUUCUUCAACAAUAACAUUGUCAGUUAUUCUUAUGUGUUUGUGUAUGCCCUGAAGGAGAUCAAGCAAUGCAGAAAGGCAUUCAUUUCGCUUCACAUUGCUUCCACUGAGAGUUCACGGUUCCCAGGAAGCUUUCAAAAUGUCAGCAUGCAUCACAAAUCAAAAGGAUGACACUAAGCCAUCGAUACUUUUCACACAGAUUCCCAGCUUGAGGCCCACGGAUCUAAAGUUUUUUUUCUAAACUCACAUAAUAAUUAUUAACCCAUUUAUACAAUGACAUUUAUACUUUUCAUUCUAUCCCAAGACAGCUGGAUCCAGUGAAAUUGUAAGAGAGCAAUUUUCCAGACGUCAUCUCUGAAGUCACGGCCACAGGAAUGGAGGCUCAUUUCUAUCAGAAGUGUUUGUGCCUCCCUGACAAAGGGAAAUGAAAUGGCACCAAGGGCAAUCGAAUAAAUCAGCAUGCUCAUUCCCCAGAUUCCACAAUACAUUUCAACCCUGCAGCAUUUUUUUAUACUAAAUCGGCACUUUUUACUCUAAGACAUCAGAGUCUGGUGGGAGACUUCAGCUCUUUUUCAGACCCUAAUAAGCUACCUUGCUACUGCCUAACAACGUCCUAACUGGAAAAAUGUAAAUUACAGAUUUGCAAUUCUUCCAUGCACUUAAAAAAAUAACAACAACUCCCAAUUAAUUUAAGACAUACUGCACAAGUAGCAUAUAUAAAAGUGGAGCUGGGGAAGGUGGAGGGUUUCCACCAAGGAACAGUCUUUCGGUCUCCUACACCCUCCAUCCCUUGAAGGCAUGUGCUCUCCAGCACAGAAAGCAGGGCUGGACUUACAUUUUGGCUGGAAUAAGGUAUCUAAACUUGUUUUACUUCUGUAAUGUGAUGUAUUUCUUAAUACUGGAUAUGUGACGAGGGAUCAAAAAAUAGGGAAGCACCUGAUUUUUAUUCAUUGGGACCAAUUGGAUUGGGAAAACUGACAUGACAGUUUAAAUGUGGCCAUUUGGAACAUGACUACAGUAUAUGCUUCCUCAUCUAUACACACACAUAGUAAAGCCAUCUUUGUCCCAUUUUCUUUCUUCUUUUUAAAAGAGGCCAGGCAUACCACUCUGUUCUCCAUGUGUUUAUUGAAGCACACACCCUUGCUAAGCAGCUCUGGUUUUGUUUAAAUUGUUAAUUACAAAGCCUUGCAUCAUUGUGUGUGUGUGUCUGUGUGUGUGUGUGUGUGUGUGUGUGUGUCAGUCUAUUUUAUAUGUUUGCCAUCAAUCCAGGGUUUUAAUGCUAACAGAGCUUUGGAAAUGGCCCAAACCUCUGACAAGAGCUGCCCACUGUGACAUGUUUAACAGAUCACGCUGGCUGUGGAAAAAAUCUCCAGCCUGACACUUACACAGAAACAGGCUCUAACUGGCCUAAAUAUGAUCAUGUGACGAUCUGAGAGUGACACAGGUUAAGGGUUAACACUUCACUUAGUGUUAAAAUGAGCUUUUUUGUGUUUAUUUGACAGCCAGGUGUGACAAUGUGCGACGCCGCAUCACAGCAUGACCUCAGAGCUCAAACAGAAGUCCAGAUAAGGAUGUGGCAGCUUGAAUCCCCCUGUGUGUUUCCCAGAGUUCAGUUCCCAGACUGAAAAACCUCUGAGUCAAUGCCUGAGAAUGCAGAGCGGGCAUUGAAAACUACUGCAGUCUGCACAAAAUACCCUCUGUGUGACGAUACAGGCAGAUAAUAUCAACAAAAACAGUUUGAACCAUUCUCGCUGGUUUCGAGAUACAGCACGUACUUUUAAGGGAAUGUACUGGGGAAAACACAAGAUGUGACAUGCUGUCAGUAACCACAGAAGACCAUUACAACUACUCAUUGACAUUUGGCAUUCAUUUGCUUAAAAUUUCAUUCAGAAAUGUGCUUGUAGCAUUUUUAAGCACUUAACAUUAAUCCUCCCAUGUACAGUUUUGAAAGUUGGAAAUUAUUUGAGCUAUAUCGUUGUCUAAAACAUUGUUAAGUGGCAGGACUGUUGUUCUAGGCAGAUUUUCUCAUUUAAGUAGCCAUUGUGAAACAUUAGCAUGUUGCUAUGCUAACAACAUGGCUCACUACUGUAAUAUCUAACAUGAUUUGCUUUCACUGAACAUUCAUUAAAGAGAGUUUUUGUUUCAUCAUUUAUUUACAGUGAAAGUCAAUGGGAUCCUUUUUUUUCCGGACUGCGUAUAUGGACAAAAACUGUUUAAACACCGUAGAGAAUAUCUUCUUUUGUGUUCUACAGAAGAAACAAAGUCAUGCAGGUUUGAAAUCACAUGGGGGACAUAAAUGGUUUUGGACAUGUACUAUGGUAAAACGCCUGAAACUUUGACACCAUGUCAAGAAGACUAAUGAACUGUGUAGUAUCUCUUUAUGCGUAACGAUGGGUGUCCAUCAAAUUAACGCAAGACUUAACUCCUCUGAACAAAGUACAUCCCUGUCUUUUAAGACAGAAACAGACAACAAGCCCUCACCACCUCCGAGAACGCAGGGUAUGAUGCACUCUAAAAAACGCUGGGUUGUUUUUUUCAACCCAACUGCUGGGUUGAGGCCGUUGGAUAGGACUUUGGGAUGUUUUAACCCAAGUUUGGGUUGAAAAUAAGGUUUAAAAAA